rnacentral:rRNA from 1 species
CUAUGUGUUGUUGGGUAGGGGAGCGUUCUGUAAGCCUGUGAAGGUGUACUGUGAGGUAUGCUGGAGGUAUCAGAAGUGCGAAUGCUGACAUAAGUAACGAUAAAGCGGGUGAAAAGCCCGCUCGCCGGAAGACCAAGGGUUCCUGUCCAACGUUAAUCGGGGCAGGGUGAGUCGACCCCUAAGGCGAGGCCGAAAGGCGUAGUCGAUGGGAAACAGGUUAAUAUUCCUGUACUUGGUGUUACUGCGAAGGGGGGACGGAGAAGGCUAUGUUGGCCGGGCGACGGUUGUCCCGGUUUAAGCGUGUAGGCUGGUUUUCCAGGCAAAUCCGGAAAAUCAAGGCUGAGGCGUGAUGACGAGGCACUACGGUGCUGAAGCAACAAAUGCCCUGCUUCCAGGAAAAGCCUCUAAGCAUCAGGUAACAUCAAAUCGUACCCCAAACCGACACAGGUGGUCAGGUAGAGAAUACCAAGGCGCUUGAGAGAACUCGGGUGAAGGAACUAGGCAAAAUGGUGCCGUAACUUCGGGAGAAGGCACGCUGAUAUGUAGGUGAAGUCCCUCGCGGAUGGAGCUGAAAUCAGUCGAAGAUACCAGCUGGCUGCAACUGUUUAUUAAAAACACAGCACUGUGCAAACACGAAAGUGGACGUAUACGGUGUGACGCCUGCCCGGUGCCGGAAGGUUAAUUGAUGGGGUUAGCGCAAGCGAAGCUCUUGAUCGAAGCCCCGGUAAACGGCGGCCGUAACUAUAACGGUCCUAAGGUAGCGAAAUUCCUUGUCGGGUAAGUUCCGACCUGCACGAAUGGCGUAAUGAUGGCCAGGCUGUCUCCACCCGAGACUCAGUGAAAUUGAACUCGCUGUGAAGAUGCAGUGUACCCGCGGCAAGACGGAAAGACCCCGUGAACCUUUACUAUAGCUUGACACUGAACAUUGAGCCUUGAUGUGUAGGAUAGGUGGGAGGCUUUGAAGUGUGGACGCCAGUCUGCAUGGAGCCGACCUUGAAAUACCACCCUUUAAUGUUUGAUGUUCUAACGUUGACCCGUGAUCCGGGUUGCGGACAGUGUCUGGUGGGUAGUUUGACUGGGGCGGUCUCCUCCUAAAGAGUAACGGAGGAGCACGAAGGUUGGCUAAUCCUGGUCGGACAUCAGGAGGUUAGUGCAAUGGCAUAAGCCAGCUUGACUGCGAGCGUGACGGCGCGAGCAGGUGCGAAAGCAGGUCAUAGUGAUCCGGUGGUUCUGAAUGGAAGGGCCAUCGCUCAACGGAUAAAAGGUACUCCGGGGAUAACAGGCUGAUACCGCCCAAGAGUUCAUAUCGACGGCGGUGUUUGGCACCUCGAUGUCGGCUCAUCACAUCCUGGGGCUGAAGUAGGUCCCAAGGGUAUGGCUGUUCGCCAUUUAAAGUGGUACGCGAGCUGGGUUUAGAACGUCGUGAGACAGUUCGGUCCCUAUCUGCCGUGGGCGCUGGAGAACUGAGGGGGGCUGCUCCUAGUACGAGAGGACCGGAGUGGACGCAUCACUGGUGUUCGGGUUGUCAUGCCAAUGGCACUGCCCGGUAGCUAAAUGCGGAAGAGAUAAGUGCUGAAAGCAUCUAAGCACGAAACUUGCC